rnacentral:lncRNA from 1 species
UACGAAGGGUUUAUAAGAAACUGGUACUUUAUAACUCAUGAGUGACAUCAAAUAUCAAUAUCCAACCCACAUCACCACUAUGUUGGGUGCCUGCACAACCUGGGCUAUCUCCAUUCAUUCAACAAUAAAGUAACAAAAAUAAAAUAAAGACUAACAAUCAUAUACAGAAAUCCAACAUCAACUCAUACAAAGAAUCUGAG